rnacentral:rRNA from 1 species
AGAGUUUGAUCCUGGCUCAGAUUGAACGCUGGCGGCAUGCCUUACACAUGCAAGUCGAACGGCAGCACGGGUGCUUGCACCUGGUGGCGAGUGGCGAACGGGUGAGUAAUAUAUCGGAACGUACCCUAGAGUGGGGGAUAACGUAGCGAAAGUUACGCUAAUACCGCAUACGAUCUACGGAUGAAAGUGGGGGAUCGCAAGACCUCAUGCUCAUGGAGCGGCCGAUAUCUGAUUAGCUAGUUGGUGGGGUAAAAGCCUACCAAGGCGACGAUCAGUAGCUGGUCUGAGAGGACGACCAGCCACACUGGAACUGAGACACGGUCCAGACUCCUACGGGAGGCAGCAGUGGGGAAUUUUGGACAAUGGGGGCAACCCUGAUCCAGCAAUGCCGCGUGAGUGAAGAAGGCCUUCGGGUUGUAAAGCUCUUUUGUCAGGGAAGAAACGGGAUUUUCUAAUACAAAGUCCUAAUGACGGUACCUGAAGAAUAAGCACCGGCUAACUACGUGCCAGCAGCCGCGGUAAUACGUAGGGUGCAAGCGUUAAUCGGAAUUACUGGGCGUAAAGCGUGCGCAGGCGGUUGUGCAAGACAGAUGUGAAAUCCCCGGGCUCAACCUGGGAAUUGCAUUUGUGACUGCACGGCUAGAGUGUGUCAGAGAGGGGUAGAAUUCCACGUGUAGCAGUGAAAUGCGUAGAGAUGUGGAGGAAUACCGAUGGCGAAGGCAGCCCCCUGGGAUAACACUGACGCUCAUGCACGAAAGCGUGGGGAGCAAACAGGAUUAGAUACCCUGGUAGUCCACGCCCUAAACGAUGUCUACUAGUUGUCGGGUCUUAAUUGACUUGGUAACGCAGCUAACGCGUGAAGUAGACCGCCUGGGGAGUACGGUCGCAAGAUUAAAACUCAAAGGAAUUGACGGGGACCCGCACAAGCGGUGGAUGAUGUGGAUUAAUUCGAUGCAACGCGAAAAACCUUACCUACCCUUGACAUGUACGGAACUUACCAGAGAUGGUUUGGUGCUCGAAAGAGAACCGUAACACAGGUGCUGCAUGGCUGUCGUCAGCUCGUGUCGUGAGAUGUUGGGUUAAGUCCCGCAACGAGCGCAACCCUUGUCAUUAGUUGCUACGAAAGGGCACUCUAAUGAGACUGCCGGUGACAAACCGGAGGAAGGUGGGGAUGACGUCAAGUCCUCAUGGCCCUUAUGGGUAGGGCUUCACACGUCAUACAAUGGUACAUACAGAGGGCCGCCAACCCGCGAGGGGGAGCUAAUCCCAGAAAGUGUAUCGUAGUCCGGAUUGUAGUCUGCAACUCGACUACAUGAAGUUGGAAUCGCUAGUAAUCGCGGAUCAGCAUGUCGCGGUGAAUACGUUCCCGGGUCUUGUACACACCGCCCGUCACACCAUGGGAGCGGGUUUCACCAGAAGUAGGUAGCCUAACCGCAAGGAGGGCGCUUACCACGGUGGGAUUCGUGACUGGGGUGAAGUCGUAACAAGGUA